UCGACGUUUCAGCCACAAUACAUGGCUUUCAUCAGGAUCUUUACAGCUCAGUAUACUCAGUUUACUGAGCUGUAAAGAUCCUGAUGAAAGCCAUGUAUUGUGGCUGAAACGU
rnacentral:miRNA from 1 species